UACGUAGGCAGCGAGCGUUGUUCGGAAUUACUGGGCGUAAAGAGUGUGUAGGCGGUGCUCCCAGUCUGUUGUGAAAUCUCCCGGCUUAACUGGGAGGGUGCAGCGGAAACUAGAGUGCUAGAGGGGUGGGAGAGGUAAGCGGAAUUCCUGGUGUAGGCGGUAGAAAUGCGUAGAUAUCAGGAGGAACACCUGUGGUGUAGACAGCUUACUGGACCACUUCUGACGCUGAGACACGAAAGCGUGGGUAGCAAACAGG
rnacentral:rRNA from 1 species